ensembl:lncRNA
GAGAUUCUUGAAGGGAAUUCUGGUUGUUUUCACUUUGCUAAUAGUCCAUUAACAUCAGCUUAUUGAUUUGAGGAUACUUUAGUUCCUUGAAAGAAAUCACUUGGAGCCAAAAAACAUGGCUUCUACUCCUGGUUUGCUGUAUCCAGUCCUGAGGCCCUGGGCAACCUUUCACUUUUGCCUCCCGUUGGACAAACCCGGCUGGGACUCAGUUGCCAGCAGAGUCUGAGAGCCACGCCUGCGGAAGUCACAUUCCUAAGAACGGAAGAUACAGGUGGCAGACAGGGCCUGGUUUGCAUUUCACCUUGUGUUUCAGUGAAUCUAAAAUAAAAUUGUGCAAUCUGUGAACUCCAGGACUGACAGUCAAGAAGCAGUUGAGCAGAAACCCAGGAAGGAAUUGAAUAGUUCCUACUGAUGAUCCAUUUUUAGAAAUCUGAUUUGUGGUUUGGAGGAACUAGGUAUUGAAUUCCAGGAAGGAAAAGGAACAGCAGUGCAGAAGAACGAGGGGAGGAUUCGCUGGUGCUUUCCAUAGCGACUGGACAAAAACAGAAGGAGAUUUGAGACAGGAGAAGACACAGAGAAAAGGAGAAGGCAAUGUGACCACAGAGACAAAUAGUGGAGUAACAGCCACAAGCCAAGGAUGGCUGAAAUCCCCAAAGCUGGAAGAGCUGGCGUCCCAAACCCUGAAAGGAUCGGCAAUCAAGUCAGUUUGGAGUGAAAGCAGAUGUGAGCUGGGAAGCCUUUUUUCUCUUAGGACCGAUGGCCUGGAAAAGCCCAGGCUGAAUGAUUGAUUGCUUGUUUUUCCCUGAGCCCCACCCUGAGUCCCACUUGGCUUAAUUAAAUAUAUCCUCAAGGAGUCCCUGAAAUGCUUUAGGACUACUGGAUGAUUGCUGGUAUUCCUGUUCCUUAUUAUAUAAGGUAGUGUGUAUUGCAAUCACUUGGGAAGAUAUCCAUUAUACACACAUCUGCCUCCAAACCCCAAUCCAGGAUUCAGAUUUCCAGGAAAGAAGUUUGAUCCCGUGUAUUUCGAAAAAGUAUCUAAAGUGAUUUUGAUAAACACUCCUAGGUAGACAACACUGAGACGAAAUGAACUACCAUAUAUUUUAUUUACCACUUCAAAUUAUACACAGCUAUGUUGCUUAACAUACUGCAUUUUAUUAAUCCUUUAAAAAGAAUCAAACCUUUUUUAUUUUAAUUGCAUGUUUGUUGGUGGGGGGGCUUUGUUUUAUCAAAUGCUAUUUGGGGAUUUGUUUCUUUUCUUUAUUUCAACAAUUUAUGCUUUUAUCUUUAUUGAUUUUCCGUUUUCCAUUCUUUGGGUUUAUUUUGUUGUUCUUUGAAUUUUUUGAAGUGCGUUUAAUUUUAGUUUUUCUUCUCUCUCGCACACAUAUUUUUUUAAAUGAAUGUA